rnacentral:ribozyme from 1 species
UUCAACGGCUGGUCAAGCUAGUGACGGACAUGAGGGGGAGAAUCCAAGACCAGC